rnacentral:lncRNA from 1 species
CAAAAGCUCGUUGCUUUUUCUUUCCCUAUAAUUUAAUUGAAGCCGCAGCCUUAUCCAUUUAUUCAUUCGACCCAACUUUAUUUUGUUCCGUUCCAAGAAUUCUAACACAGUUUUAUACCCAUCUAGGAACAAUGAAAUAUUUUCAGAACUUUCCGUUGAUACGACAUGCUAUUUUUACCAUUCAUUCCCUUUCAGGAUCAGUCGCGGUCUUCCAAACUUUACCGAGAGUAUGGACGAAUCCCUCACCUCAUCCAUAUGUGUAAAAGACACUAGCCGCACUUAAAAGCCGAGUACUCUACCGUUGAGUUAGCAACCCGAAGAAAAUAUCGAAAAAAUUAUGUAGAUCCAAUCCGAAGAAAAAGAAAUAACUAGAUUAGACAAGACAACCAAAAACCAUUGAAAGAAGAAAUCGAAAAAAAUACAUUCACACUUUCGAAUUCAUUUAAAACAUAAAAUAAAACUAAAUAGAUCCACUUCAUUUAUCACAAUGAAUUAUAUUUGUUCGAUACACUGUUGUCAAUAUAAAUAUUGAAUAUUGAAAAAAAAAAAGUGGAAAACAAAACUACAAUUUACUUAAAUUUACUUAGAUUUAUUGAAUUCAUAAUGGAUUCAAUCAAGUUAACUGAGAUAAGCAAACUUGAUUUCAUUCCGAAAUGCCCGAAUUAACUAUUUAGAAGAUCAAUAAAAUAAGAGGUUUUGUCGUUAUAGAACACGGAAUUCACUGGAAGCAAUGAUAAAUAAAUACAAAUAGAAAAGGAAAGGGAGGAAAUACAAAAAAAUAGAAGAGAAAAGUCAUACAAAGUUAUAUACAAAUCACUACCCCCUUUUUUGUAUUUCCUUAAUUUAUUUCCUUAAUUGAAUUUCGGUUGAUUAAGACGAAGUUCCUUAAAAACCUCUGCCUUCUUUAAAAUAUCCUGAACAGUUUCUGUAGGUUGAGCCCCUUUUUCAAGGAAAUAUAAAAUAGCAGGAACAUUUAAAUAAGUUUGAUUCUUUAUCGGAUCAUAAAAACCCACUUUCUGAAGAUCUUUUCCUUCUCUUCGGGAUCGAACAUCAAUUGCAACGAUUCGAUAGACGGCUCAUUGGGAUAGAUGUAGAUGAACAACACCCCCCCUAGAAACGUAUAGGAAGCUUUCUCCUCGUACGGCUCGAGAAAAAUGAUUGAUUCGAAGUUUUGUCUUUGUAUGGAAUUCUAUCUAAGAAAUGACAACUGGAUCCAUAAAAUGAUCAAAGCAAUUAAAGAUCUAAGUCUUUUUUUCUUCGUUCUUCCUUAAAAUGAAAAAUAAACCAUUCGUACUCUCAUAACUCAAGUUGGAUAACUUUCAAACAGUUCAAAGGAAAAUCUUUCGGCAAUUUCAUUUAUUGAGCGGUCUUUCCUCCUUUUUUGUUUGUCUCGUUUAAAAUCGGAUUCUUCAGUCUGAUCCAGUUAUUAAGACAAUUAAAAAGGUGUUUCCUUGUUCUGGGAUCCUUUAUCUUUGUUUUAUUUUAAAUCAUUGGGUUUAGACAUUACUUCGGUGCUUUUUAAUCCUUUCAAAAUGGCAGCAACAUACCCUUUUUGCGAUUUUUAUGAAAGAAUCCUACAAGAUGAUGGAUUCCCUCGUGAAACACUUUGGAUCGAAAAAGUUUGAUCAAUUCCAAUAAAUUUUUUAAUUUGAAACUUGCUCGAAUUGGAUUCUUUCGAUUUCCAUACCUAAGAUAUAUUAGAUAUAUUUACGAAGUUGUUUCAAUUGUUUUAUUGAUUGGCAUUAACCCUAGACCCUUGCCCCGAGAAAGAAAUUAAUACUUUCUACUCGAGCUCCAUCAUGGACUAUUUACAUUCCAAGACAACAAAAAACGAGGGGUUCUAGUGAAACAGAACCAAUGAUGUCGAGUUAAGAGCACCUUCAUUCCUACAAAAAAUGGUGGAUGUACAAAUCCACAACGGAUCGUGUCCUUCAAGUCGCACGUUGCUUUCUACCACAUCGUUUCAAACGAAGUUUUACCAUAACAUUCCUCUAAGAACCGGUAUGGAAUUGAUUCAAUUAUGGAAUCAUGAAUAGUCAUUGGUUGGGCUGAUGUAUAAACACCAUAAUCUAAAGUAUUUUCUAUAUCUUCUAUAUCUAUAGUAUAUAGAUAUAAAUAAUACUAUAGAUUAAUACUAUAGAUAUAGGGUGGAUAAAUAUUUUUCUGAAGAAGUCUUAGUAAGACCCCAUCGCUAAUAUUAAAUUGUCUAACAUUAUAAUAUUAAUUAAUAAAUAUAUAUAAUAAAAAAUUUUUUUAUAUAAAUAAAAUAAGACGAAUAAACGAAUUCUUUUUAAUUCUGCAUCUUCACGUGACUUAAUAGGAGAGAAAGAUUCAGCUUCUAAGGAAUGAUUUAAACUAUUUCUCUUUCGAAAUUUCGAAUCAAUUUCGAAAGUUCCCCUCUCGACAUCAUUAUUCCAAGAAAAUUUGAUAGUUAAAAAUAACUUUUGAUCAUCUUAGGAAAAAAGAUAAGUCUUUUUUUUUUUUUUUUCAUCUGAUUAAUAAAAUCCAAAGAAUGGGGAGGGUUUCGUAUCUAUCAAUUCGAUCAAAUAGACUGAGCAAUUGUCACCGUUUAUAGAUAUUGAAAUGAACGCCUUCCCAUCACUGAUUAACUCCUAUCUACCCCAUUCUCUGGGACUGAUGCAGCAUAAAUCAAAAGAAGGGGAUGUCCUAGUCUUUUUUUUACGAAAUGCGAGCUGGCUGGGCACAAAGCCAAACAAGCCCAGAUUAAGUCCAGUUUUUGCUCCUUUUUUCUAUUUUAGCCUACCUCAUUGAUUAAGAAUUAAGAGACUUAGUGAAUUGAAUUAGUACCAAAAACCCCUUCUUGGCGAAAAGUCAAGAAAUCCACAAAAAAGCAAAUUGAAUCUAAUUAGGCUAAUUUAGGGGGUAGAGAAUAUGAGAUAGGGAAUAUGGAUUCUUUCGUAUCUCGAUUCAGUUUUUGAAAAAAAAAAAAACGAUUCAUCGAAGAAAAAAAUCAGAAACAACAAUCACAUUCCAGCUAACAUUUCGAUUUUAAACAGAACAUUGUUAAAAAAGCAAUCUAUAUUGUCAGAGAAUAUAUAUGUUCUGGGACGGAAGGAUUCGAACCUCCGAAUAGCGGGACCAAAACCCGUUGCCUUACCACUUGGCCACGCCCCAUUUAGAUUUCUAUGCGAUACUAAUAAAGUAUAUUGCUGGUUUUGUUUGUUUGUCAACUCUAGCCCAAAUAUCUAUAGAAUCGAUUAGAUUGGUAUUCGGAUUUUUCUAUGUUUUUGGUAUGUGUAGAUAUAGAAUUCAACUUAAUUUAUUGAUCAUUACAUAUAAUUCAAUUAAGAUAUUGUAUGAAAAUAUUAUUUUUUCGAUUCUCCUUUUCUCAAAGGAGGAUUUUUGAUUGGGUGGGUUCAAAGAAAAAGAAGGAUUUUUUGUUUACCUUACUUACUUUCCUUUUCCUUAUAACUUACUUUCCUUUUCCUUAUAUAAAUAACUCAAUCAAAAUGCAAUUAUCUCCAAGAACAAAAAGUCUGUUAUGCUUAAUACCUUUAGUUUGAUCGGUAUCUGUCUUAAUUCGACCCUUUAUUCGAGUAGUUUUUUCUUCGGCAAAUUGCCCGAGGCCUAUGCUUUUUUGAAUCCAAUCGUAGAUAUUAUGCCAGUCAUACCUCUGUUCUUUUUUCUCUUAGCCUUUGUUUGGCAAGCUGCUGUAAGUUUUCGAUGAGAUCCUUAAUAAUAUCCUAGAAAAUUCAUGAUUUAUUCGAGAAAAAAUUCGAAAAUCAAUAAAAUCAGAUAAGCUUUACCGUUUGAAAUCUCGAUUCAAACAUUGAAAUUCUUGGAUAGUCACGAGAAAUCCGGCUUAACUUAAUUUCCUUCUUUUUUGGCGCUUUCCUUUCCAGUGAAAGACCUUAUUAGGCUCCUCUUGUAUAUAUAAAAAAUUUGGUUAAUGACAAACUCUUAUUAUAAAAGAAUUUCUGAAAAUUCUUUUAGAGAAAAAGCUUCGUUGCUUGGUGUCAAACUAGGAUAUGCGAUGGAUGAUCUAUUCUCUUUUUUUUUUUCAAAAAAAUCAUCUUGGAGAUUGUGUAAUGCUUACUCUCAAACUCUUCGUUUACACAGUAGUGAUAUUUUUUGUUUCUCUCUUCAUCUUUGGAUUCCUAUCUAAUGAUCCCGGACGUAAUCCUGGACGUGAAGAAUAAAAUAAAAAAGUUUUUUCCUUGCUUGAUUUUCAAAUUUUCUUAGGAUUUGGUCUAUUCCACACAUUUAACUAAGAAUAAGAACAAAGGAUUUCGAAAUUUGAAAAAAAAAAAAUCAAGUCAUCAACGGAAAGAGAGGGAUUCGAACCCUCGGUACGAUUAACUCGUACAACGGAUUAGCAAUCCGCCGCUUUAGUCCACUCAGCCAUCUCUCCCAAUUGAAAAAGAUAAUUAAUACAUGAGAUAGCACAUUAAGAUAAAGGAAAGAAUCUUUCUUUCUCUCUUUUCUUCUUUCUAUAUUAUAUAGAUAUGUACAACUUUUAUCAUCAAUUUCCUUUAUCUCUUUAUCUAAAGUAAAGGAAGGGCUCAGAAGAGCCAAGAAUCUCAAGAAAAAUAAAGAAGACCUCUUUUCUUUGUCUUGAUUUUGUUCGAAAGGACCCUCUUAUUCUCAUGGCCUGGUCUGGUCAGUACCCAGCCGGGCCUCUUUUGUUCCAAUUAAUUUGAAAACAAAAAUGUCUGUUAUAGUUGUAAUAUUUCAUUUUAAUUGAAUAGUUAAUAUUCAAGCAACAAGAAAAAAUUCCCAUUUUUUAUAUUUUUAUAUAAAGUCAAAUAAAAUAUAUGAAAUAGAAAAUUCGAUCAAAAAAAAAGUCUCAUUUCUCUUUCUGCUUUUUGAUUUUAUGUUUACCAUCUUGCUGGACUAAAAAAAAAGAAGCUUUCGAGUAUUCCACAAUGCAUUUUUAUGUUAUGAUUUUAGUCGUUUUGACGACCCUAUCUUAUCCUAUCUUAAUUACCACAAUUCCCCUGUUCGACAAAAGUUGUAUUUGUAUACAAUAAUCGGAUUGU